rnacentral:rRNA from 1 species
AUUGAACGCUGGCGGCAGGCUUCACACAUGCAAGUCGAACGAGUGGCGGACGGGUGCGUAAUGCUUGGGAAUCUAGCUCAUGGAGGGGGAUCACUACGGUAAACUGUAGCUAAUACCGCGUACCAUAGGAUGAGCCCAAGUGGGAUUAGGUAGUUGUUGAGGUAAAGGCGCACCAAGCCGACGAUCUCUAGCUGGUCUGAGAGGAUGACCAGCCAAACGGGGACUGAGACACGGCCCAGACUCCUACGGGAGGCAGCAGUGGGGAAUAUUGGGCAAGGGGGGAAACCUGACGCAGCCAUGCCGCGUGAAUGAAGAAGGCCUUCGGGUUGUAAAGUUCUGUCGGUAGCGAGGCGUUAACUACAGAAGAAGCACCGGCUAACUCCGUGCCAGCAGCCGCGGUAAUUC